ensembl:misc_RNA 7SK 7SK RNA
AGAUGUAAGAGUGAUCUGGCUACAACAUCUGCUACAACAUCUGUCACUCCAAAGAUUGCUAGAUUUGAUUUGGCUGAUCUGGCUGGCUAGGUAGGUGUCCCCUUCCUCCCUCACUGCUUCUUAUGUAUCCCUCCUGAAGCUGUGUGCCCAGUUGAAAAGGGGAACUGUCCCUAAUAGAGAAGGACGUUUUUCAGUGAAGGGUAUACAAAUAGCUCCCCCUGCCUCCUGCUAGAACUUCUAAAUAAGCUCUCAAGAAACCAAGAGGUCAGAGUAUGUGCUGGAUGAUCCAAAGAGAUGUUGAGUCCAUCAAGAAAGAUGAAAGAGAAUGGUCU